rnacentral:lncRNA from 1 species
GGCGCCAAUUUGGAAGUUUAUCUUUUUUUCAGUUUCCUACUUGCCAUUAGGGUCUGAAAUAGAUUUAUUUCGAUUUGUUGAGCAUGGAGUUUAUUAUCAAAAGGAAAAAAAAAUCUCAAACAUGUCAAAUUGGCCGUGUUUUAACGAUCCCGUAAUGCCGUUGAUCGUCGUUUAAAAUUAUUUUCUUCUAUUUUUCACAGAUUAACAAAGACUAUAUGUACUAUACAAACAAUUAAUAAUACGUAUCUCAAAAUUUAAAAAAAAUCAUAAAGUAUAACGUUCUAUUACCCCUUGGGAAACCCCGUUUGAACUAAAUUCCAAAAGAAAGACAUUUUUUGACAUUGU